UACGGGGGGUGCGAGCGUUGUCCGGAAUCACUGGGCGUAAAGGGCGCGUAGGUGGCCUGAUAAGGGUGUGGUGAAAGUCCGGGGCUCAACCCCGGAUCUGCCGUGCCGACUGUUGGGCUGGAGUACUGUAGGGGCAGGCGGAAUUCCGGGUGUAGCGGUGGAAUGCGUAGAGAUCCGGAAGAACACCGGUGGCGAAGGCGGUCUGCUGGGCAGUAGCUGACACUGAGGCGCGACAGCGUGGGGAGCAAACAGG
rnacentral:rRNA from 1 species